UACGAAGGGGGCUAGCGUUACUCGGAUUGACUGGGCGUAAAGGGCGCGUAGGCGGCUGGUACAGUCAGACGUGAAAUUCCUGGGCUCAACCUGGGGGCUGCGUUUGAUACGUGCUGUCUGGAGUUCGGAAGAGGGUCGUGGAAUUCCCAGUGUAGAGGUGAAAUUCGUAGAUAUUGGGAAGAACACCGGUGGCGAAGGCGGCGACCUGGUCCGAUACUGACGCUGAGGCACGAAAGCCAGGGGAGCAAACGGG
rnacentral:rRNA from 1 species